rnacentral:tRNA from 1 species
GCCCAGCUGUCUCAGUUGGUGGAGCAUGAGAUUCUUGAACUCAGGAUUGUGAGAUCAAGCCCCAUGUUGGGCC